CCACUGCUUUGCUUCGCUCUGAGAACUGCUGUCAGAAAGAGGCAAUCACACACAACUGAACUGGUGGUCUCUUCGGAGAAAAGACUUGUAAAUGGAAGACUGGCUUAUUACUAAUUACUUUUGAUAAAGACUGCAGACAGCGAAACUUGCCUCUAACAUUCUCACACAUAAUCUUUCUCUGCAUGCAUACGUAAAACCUCAAACAAAAGCCAAUGUCAACAACAAUAUUCCCAGAUAGCUUAUUUCUUUCACAAAACGUCCAGAAGCCUCGAAUAGCUCGGUUUUUCACACCUGAGUUGAUACAUUUUUUAAGGAUGGGUGAAAAGCACUGAAGGGGGCAGAUCCAGAAAGGUGCGUGUGAGGCUAGAAGGAAGAGUGACGACUUCUUAUGUUUGUAUUUGCUUUUCCUUCCAAAUAGGUUUUGUUCGUGGGGACCUAUUUGGGCAACCAAAACGUCUUCUUAGUUUUCAUGCUGGCAUAAGGCCUCUCCUGUCUUGCCCUGGCUGCUCCUGCACUGAUUUUCUCACUGCACUGGCUGAUCUCAACCUCUUUUGAGAUAACCUCUUCAUAAUCUGAAGAAGACACCCAGACACUCAUGA